rnacentral:rRNA from 1 species
CGGGAAACCGGAGCUAAUACCGGAUAAUAUAUGAACCGCAUGGUUCAAUAGUGAAAGACGGUUUUGCUGUCACUUAUAGAUGGAUCCGCGCCGCAUUAGCUAGUUGGUAAGGUAACGGCUUACCAAGGCAACGAUGCGUAGCCGACCUGAGAGGGUGAUCGGCCACACUGGAACUGAGACACGGUCCAGACUCCUACGGGAGGCAGCAGCG